rnacentral:rRNA from 1 species
GAAGGGAUAAGCGCUGAAAGCAUCUAAGUGCGAAGCCCACCUCAAGAUGAGAUGUCCCAUGAUUUUAUAUCAGUAAGAGCCCUGAGAGAUGAUCAGGUAGAUAGGUUAGGAGUGUAAUUGUGGUGACACAUUUAGCGGACUAAUACUAAUAGCUCGAGGACUUAUCCAAAA